rnacentral:rRNA from 1 species
UACGUAGGGGGCAAGCGUUGUCCGGAAUCAUUGGGCGUAAAGAGCGUGUAGGCGGCCCGAUAAGUCCGCUGUGAAAGUCCAGGGCUCAACCCUGGAAUGCCGGUGGAUACUGUCGGGCUCGAGUUCGGAAGAGGUGAGUGGAAUUCCUGGUGUAGCGGUGAAAGUGACGCAGAUAUCAGGAGGAACACCAAUGGCGAAGGCAGCUCACUGGGACGUUACUGACACUGAGGCGCGAAAGCGUGGGGAGCGAACAGG